rnacentral:tRNA from 1 species
CAGGAUAUAGCUGAAAUAGUAAAGCUCCUCCCUUACACUGAGAAGUUGUCCGUGCAAAUCGGACUGUCCUGA